AGUCGAGUGCGCGGUUGUAGCAAUACAACUGGCGCACGGCGCACGGGUGCGUAACACGUGGGUAACCUGCCCUUUGGUGGGGAAUAACUCCGCGAAAGCGGAGCUAAUUCCGCAUAAGAUCCGCAAGGAUGAAAGCCGCAAGGCGCCGAAGGAGGGGCCCGCGCCCGAUUAGCUAGUUGGUGAGGUAAUGGCUCACCAAGGCUUUGAUCGGUAGCUGGUCUGAGAGGAUGGUCAGCACACUGGAACUGAGACACGGUCCAGACUCCUACGGGAGGCAGCAGUGGGGAAUCUUGCACAAUGGGCGAAAGCCUGAUGCAGCGACGCCGCGUGGGGGAUGAAGCAUUUCGGUGUGUAAACCCCUUUCGAUCCGGACGAAACCCCGCAAGGGAUUGACGGUACGGAUAUAAGAAGCCCCGGCUAACUACGUGCCAGCAGCCGCGGUAAGACGUAGGGGGCCAGCGUUGUUCGGAAUUACUGGGUGUAAAGGGUUCGUAGGCGGUGUAGCAAGUCGGGAGUGAAAUCUUUGGGCUUAACCCAGAGACUGCUUCCGAAACUGCUGUGCUUGAGUGUGGGAGAGGCGCGUGGAAUUGCAGGUGUAGCGGUGAAAUGCGUAGAUAUCUGCAGGAACACCCGUGGCGAAAGCGGCGCGCUGGACCACUACUGACGCUGAGGAACGAAAGCUAGGGGAGCAAACAGGAUUAGAUACCCUGGUAGUCCUAGCCCUAAACGAUCAGGACUUGGGGUGCCACCCGUUCGGGUGUCGUCCCGGAGCUAACGCGUUAAGUCCUGCACCUGGGGAGUACGGUCGCAAGACUGAAACUCAAAGGAAUUGAC
rnacentral:rRNA from 1 species